CUGAUGGCCGCUUUAUUCUAAACACACCCGCCUUGCCUUCACUUGAUUAGCUCACUUCAUAGACCUGGGCUCAGGGUUAUGUAAUGCCAUUGGGCUCCCUGUGGACAUGGGAGGGCCUUAAGGAUCAGCUCUUGGAGAAGGCACUCCUGUGGAAGAGGGUAAAUAAGGGGCCUCUAUAUCCUAGCUGCUGGUUGCGGCCCUUUGAUGCAGCUGAGGAUGCAGGGUCAAGGCAGAGGCCUGGGUGGGGUGGGGAACAGAGCACAGGCCCUGGCAAUGGCUUGCAAACCAGUGCCUCCCAGCUCCCAGGCGGGUUCUGCCGCUCACCUUCUCAGAGGCUGCUUAGGGUCACUGACUCCAUUCUCACUGGGCUAGGAAUGGCCCUUUUGCUGUCCACUAUUGACAGGGUCUGCUUGUGGGGAGAGAGACGGGGGAGGUGAUGAGGGCUCCCAGGCCUUUGCAGCAGAGCCUUUGAGCAAAUUGACCUUGUGAAGUUCAGACACCCCGGAUUGGAGCGGGGCAGACACGCCUUGCCUCACUUGUAGAGGGGACGCAACAUCUCUGCAUGGGGCCCAAAUGGACAACCCUCUUCCUAGAAUCUCUCAAGAAUGGUUUGCCUUGGAUAGGAGGGAGAGGUGGAGCAUUGCCUUUGAAAAACAGCAGCACCCCCUCAGCCAAACCACCCGUCUGUUUCUGUUUUGGUCUGAUUGUUUGGACUAGGCCAUGGGCUGAGGGAGGUGCUGGUUGCUGACAUCUCACCGGCCCUGGGAAGCCAGAGGCGCCUGUUUCUAGGCAGGCCUGUCCUGCUUGCCCUUGCCGCUGGGAAGCCGUGGGCCGGGUGGGCUAGACUCUUCCCCAGGACCCUCACAAUGGGCGCUGUGGGGCAGGCUGCCCCCUCCAGAGAUCAGAGGCAAAUUGGUGACCAAGUGAAUGUACCAGAGCGGGCAAUGGCAUUACAUGACUGCUAACAGAAACACGGCAACCAACCAUUUCUUCUCCAAGGAACAUAAGUAGAAGAUGUGCAGACCGGCAGGGGCUAGUGGCAGGGGCUGGCUGUGCAUUGGUUUUCAUGCCUCUCAGCUUUGGCCGGCCCCAGGCCCGGGGUCAAAAAAAAAACGAGAGCUGAUGAGGUGACCUGGAGUGAGGGCGGUGCUUCGCCACCCCCUCGGGAACCAGACUUCAGCGGCUCUGCCUCUGCACAUUGCUCACCAACACACAGGGUAGAAACCACUAGCUCUUCCUGGAGAGAACAGAACACGCAGCCUCCACCACGUCCCCAGAAACAGCCGCAGACUUGAGCUCACUACAUCAAGAACACCACCACACCGUGCUCCAAGGAACAGCUACAAGCACAGAGACAGAGGCAGACAGAGACAAAGAAAGAGACGCAACAUGGCAGCAGACACUGCUUUUUUACUAAACAUUAAAAAAAGUCAAAAUCCAAGCAAACUUGAACCCGAAAAUGUACACAGAAGUAGGAAACACAGAGAACAGAGCUCUCCCAGCCAGCCAGCGGCGCUCUUUUCGGAGAACGAUUCAUAGACUGAAGUAGAUUCCAUGGGCCUCCAAGACAAUAGGAUCCUCUCCAUUCCUCGCCAUUCAUCGGCUGCCAACAUAAUCUGCACCAGCUGGAGAUCAGAAACCAAAAAAAAAACCACAACAACAGCAAAAAAAAAAAAUCAAAAAGCCAAAACAGACCUAAAACCAAACAGCUCAGAGGUACACAGUUACCUGCUGGCGGGUAACCAGGCGCGCUCCCAAGGCCAAAAGUGCGGGCAUAGCGGGGCCACUGGCACACCUCACAACCAGGAGACACGCACACGGAGCGCUACACAGCCAGCAGCACCGCACUGAGCACACAGUGAGGAGUGACAACACGGAGGGACACUACCCACUGCAUACACCUUUAUUGUCCGCUUUCUGGUAUCUUCUGAGGACAGAACAUCUGUGAGCCAUUUUUGACUUAAUCGAGACAUUGACUUUUAAAACAAUUCUUUUUAAA